ensembl:rRNA 5S_rRNA 5S ribosomal RNA
UAUUAAAGCCAUAUCACCCUGCAGCCCAAGACCGGAUACUCACUGAAGCUAAGCAGGGUUGAACCUGGUCAGUACCUGGAUGAGAGACCACAUGGGAAAAUCAAGGUUGCUAGUCC